CUGUUGCCAUCGAGCAGGUGAAGUACGUGGAGAAAACCUCCAAUUGUACCUCUUGUGGAAAAGUGCCCCAGGCCAAUAAACGAUCUCAAUUAUAUUGGGCGGUACUCGUUUGAUUAGAGAAGGGGUAGGAGGCAUCCUGAGCGAUCUUCUGAUGAACUUUAGAAACAGCGUGGAAGGGGACGGAUUAGAUCGAUAUCGUUUGAACGUGUGUGGGAGAACUUCAAAGCAGCGGCUUUGAUAGGAGACACUGUUGGCACAAAGAAAAUACCAAGGGCGAGAGGCCCCGGGGCAGAGGCCGGCAUCCAGAGCGAUGGGCGGGAAGUCGCGAGAAAGAAGUGCACGUCCUUGGCCUGUGAAGAGGGCAGCAUGGGCCUCACCCUCCCAGCUCAGCAAUGAAGGAGGAAGACAGGAGAAGAAUCGAUGUGUUCACGUUACAGUUUGCCAAAGAAUGCUCAGCGCACCGAGGGCUGCCCAAAGACCAAACGAAUAUGUCUCGGCGGAAGUACAACCAAACUCUUGUUUUGAAGAAGUUUUCUCACUGCCUUUGGACAUGACACCAGAAGAGACCACUUCCUGGAAAAAACAUCGUGCUUGGUAAUGUAUUGCUGCAACAUCACUGAGACAUUUAUUUCAAAGAUACACAUGGAAAACUAUCAUUUCUCAAUGGACCCUUCAUUUAGGCCUACACACUUCUGAAGAUGCCCCAGUGGAGCUGUCAGGUAGGCAUUAGACAGAUAACCACAAGGUUAGAAGUUCAAAUCCACCAACUGCGUCGUUGGAGACUGUUGAGACCUGUUCCUUCACAGAUGUACGGGCUCCGAACGUGCUACAUGGUGACUAUGACUCGUUGUGCUGUGUGUAGGGUUGUUAUGGGUUAUGGGUCGGAACCGACCUCACGGCACCUAAA